CCACUCACUGAUUGUGAGUUGAUCAAAUACAUCUUGGCUGGACUUGGGUCAAAUUAUAAUCCUUUUAUCACUUCCAUUACUACUCGGCUUGAACCCAUGAAUUUAUAGGAGAUCUAUAGGCAUCUCCUCAACUAUGAGC